ensembl:lncRNA
CACAGCGUGGGUGCGUUGCGGCGCAUGUUGGCAAGACGGGCAGAUGAGGUGGUUCUGCUGCUGGACCUGGAUCUUUGCACUGUACUCUGAGUUCCUCAUCAGCACAGCCCCGAUGGCACUAGGGGGUAUUGCGGUACCCAUCUGAGGGGAAAUCGGAGUUCUUUGCAGUUUAAGCCAUCUUGCUCCCUUUCACACAAAUCCUAAAGGUGUAAUAAUCCUGCUUAACGUGGUCCAACGGCUUUGUUUUUUCUGCCUCUCACAUGAAGGGUUAAAUUAUAACAUAUGACUGUCCUUUAGACUCUGUGACUACACAGAUGUUUAAUACACCCACGUAAAUUAAACUACCGAUUGCUUUCCUCACCUUUUUUUCCCUUCAAUCAUUAAUGAACAUUUUCUACAAGUAAGUUAAAACGCCCAAGCAGAUGACGAACUUUGGACAUAUUAGUUUGAAUCUGUCGUUCCAGGAGCUUUGCUCCUACACAGAUCUCGUAAAGACUGCAAGUGUACAAAAGGGUGCUUCCCAGUCUGGACCACAGGUUACAGGACAGUAGUAGAUCUAUUAUGUAGAAUAGUUCUGUGCUUUGAGGUUUUCCUCCAUAGCAGAUCAUGUACCUUCUGAUAAUAAAACAACAACAACAAAGAAAAGCCACCACUUGAAACUGGGGAAGUAAUUCCUUUGGGUUAUUCAGCUCACCAGCUGCAUUCAGUGCCUGACAAGUAUUCCUCCUAGGGGGCUGUAUGGAUGCACUCUAAACUUCUCUACGCCCUCAGGAGAUGCCACUGCUGGACCACCUGCAGAGCAGAUCAUCUAUCUGUACACCCAUACAGCUGCGGGUGACCUAGAAUUACACAUCCUGAGAUCAUGCUGGACCAAAAUAAGCAAGGCUGCUCUCUCAACAUUAUGAUACGAACUUGACUGGCUUGUUCAUAUGUAAAACAGAGUUAAAUGUAAAGCAGAGGACUUCUUGACAGGAGGGCAUCCAAAGAAGUUAAGCUGCUCCUCGUGUGGCUACAGCACAAUUUCAAGUGGCCUUUCCACCUCAGCUGUCAUGGAGCCCAAGGAAUGACUGAAGUAAAUGGAGACCGUGCUGGCUGGGCAGCUGUCUUCAGUCACUUCUCGCUUAGUCAACCCAGUGCGUGUGUUUGUGAAAUGCCACACUCUCCCAGGGAAAUCUCUGCCAGUACCGCACCAGCCUUACUUCUCCCAGCAUGUAAUGCAAAAUCCUCUGAUGGAGCCAAGGCCCACUGACCUCUUGGUUACGGCUAGCAUAACAGUUUGUUCCUUUUUCUUUGCAGUGACUUGUUUUAUUUUCUGGAAGAAUGUUAUGUGUCAUUCUGCUCUGCCUUCUCUUUAGGUUAAACCCCACAUCGUUUCCUCCCAUGCCCAGUUUUCUAGAGCCCUGAUGGUUCCUAUUCUUCUUGUGUUGUGGGAUGUUUUUUGUUCCUGUUUCCCCACUUGGCUGCUCCUUCUGGUGUGAAGUACACAAACAGAACAAACACAGCCUACAGUGCUGUCUCAGGAAUGAGGCUGGAGUUCAUAUCAUACACCUGUCACUCCUUCUGGCAGUGUUUCCUUAUUUUCUUGAACGCUCUGAGGUAGAUUUAGGCACCUUAGAAGGCUGCUGAAGUUCAUGGACCUUUACAAAUAAUGCAUGGGGGAGUCAGUCUGGACUGCCAAUACCACAGAGGAGUUCUGCCAUGCCUGUCACUGCUGCAGGGGCUGUGAACGUUUUAAAUUGCUUCAGAAUGUCAGCAGCCAUUCGUCCGUGGGACUGUUUGUAUGCCCAGCUGCAGCUGAUGCGGGUGCGGGCGCUAGAGCCGGCCUGGCGGGGCAGCGGCACGGCACGGCACGGCACGGCA